rfam:Ictidomys tridecemlineatus contig037275, whole genome shotgun sequence.
GGGGGUACAGCUAAGUGGUACAGUGCUUGCCUAGCAUGUAGGAGGCCCUGGGUUCAAUCCUAGUAUCUCAA